ACGUAAGAGAACAAUCUUAUGUUAUGAUAAAAUGAAAGAUAUAUGCUGAGACAUAUAGAUCAAAAUCCAUCCAUGCUUCUGUCUGUAUUAACGUUUUAUUUUAUAACUCUGAAAUGAGUAGAAAAAAGUCUAGAAUUACACUUUUACUUCAAACAAAACAAAGAAACAUGGAUAACAUGUCUUGGCAUAAAUCGAAAAUUUCAUUUUGGUUAAUAACUGUUGGAUUUGACCUAGAAGUGUGUCUGAAGUUCCAAAAUGGAUCUCUAUCCAGUGAUCCAUGAUUUCUGCUGUGUCACACUUUAAUACUUCCUCCUUACUUCCUGUUUCCCUCAACAUUCAGCUAAACAGUAAGCUCAGGUUUGCUCUGUGUGAAAUGUGUCCAAGCUCAAGUCACAAAAGAAGACAUCAAGAAAUAAGAGAGUCGUAAUGGGUUUGGAGAAACUGUGACACUUGUCCUCUUUCUGUCUUCUGUCCUGAAACUGAUCCCAUGACAUGUCCGUGAUCAAAUGACAGAGCAAAGAAAUCUUUCAGCAGUUUUCUUCAUUUGCUUGUGCUCCCCAUUUCUCACUCACAUCCCACGGUCUGUGCUUAGGUGUGAUUUGCUUUUCUUUAUUGCUUGUGUUCAUUUUGUUUCAUUUCAUGUUGUAUUUAAGUUCUAUGCUGUAGGGCCUAGUGACUCAGCAUUUUCCUUCCACAUGUGAUGUUAUGCAAAACAUGCUAAAUAAAGCUAAGAGUUUUGUUGAUGC